AGUUUAACCAGAUGAAUCAGGACACUGCAGACUUCCUUCAAGAUAUCAUCAUCAUCUUGUCAUGGAAGUUCGUCACUUGACACCAAGAACUCGUCCCUGUCAAGAAUUCUUCAUACGUUUAUGUUCUAUUUUCAUGUUAUACGUUAUCUUUAUUGUUUCUGCAUUGUGAUCUUGUGAUGUCGCAUGCUUUAAAGAGGAAAUGAUGUCAUACGUUACACCUCUUAUGCUCUAUACUGCAUUGUGAUUGGUUCUCAGUUAUGUCACUCUUUUCUUUGCUGCU